GCGGAAGUAGCUCAACGGUAGAGCACUGGCCUUCCAAGCCAGAGACGCGGGUUCGAUUCCCGUCUUCCGCU
rnacentral:tRNA from 1 species